UUGAACGGUUGAACCCCGUGAAAUUAGAUUCAUAACAAUCGAAAUUUAUUAGUUUUGAUGCUCAUGCACAAUUAUGUUCUCUGAUAUGCCUUCUUGUUGGUUGUUCUUUGUUCUGUUCGUUACUAUCUUUUUUCAGAGGUGUCCUUUCGUUCCUCUCGCUCUCGGCUAACUCUCUCUCCGCAAUAUCAUUGACACCAAUCAGGAAGGUACUACUACCUAAUUUCUUCUUCAUUCUAAGAAAUACUCCAUCACCUUUUACAUAUCCCGCACCUAUCUUUUUGUUAAGGAUUAGCCCUUAAAAUUAAACGGAAAUAAACCUUAAUCCUGCUAGGUCUUCCAAAAAGGAGGAGUCUCAGAUAUGAUUGGUUCUAAAAACUGGAGACCUAAUUCAUAUUUGAUAAUCAAAAUAAAUUAUCAUUUGGUGAAGAAAUAAAGGUAUUUUGUUUGUUAUUGCUAGAAUAUCUCCUUCCUUACUAUUUGGUCUGCAAUCAUUUAACUGGACUAAUUGGGAAACGUCUUAAGGUAUUUUUUAUAAUUAACGUAUGGGGAAGAAGCCAUCAAAGGUAUUUUUGUUUCUAGUGUUUCAAGGAGUUCGAUUUGCAAGAAUAUUUUCUUUCAUUAUAUUAAUUGGUCUGUUAUCAUAGAUGAGAACAGUUAGAAUAUUGGUGUUUUUUUCUAGUGAAUGGUACGUGCCCUUACAUAGUUACAUGUAUGGUAAUUCCUGGUUCAUUUUUUUUUAUUCUUUUGGUUGAUGGCAUGGAUAAUGAUUAUUAGUAACUGGAAUUUUUCAGUAUAUCAUGUACUUUUUUUGUUUUUGUUUUUGUUUUGAUUAGUGAAAAAAGAAAAAAGAAAAGGACUGAACCCAAGUUUUUUGUGACCCUUGUCUACGCAUUAUCCACUACUGACAAUCAGAAGCCUAAUGAAGGCUGUUGUGUAUUCUUUUCCUGGUUUGCUCCUGGUUUUGUGCAAUGAGUAGUUCUGGACUCAGUAAUUGUCAGUUUUUUCUUGCCUAUUACCUCACCGAUUUGCACUUAACUUGGCACAAUUCAAUUCUCUUCUAUUGUGGACUUCACCAUGCUGCUGUUGGCAUCUUGCUACUAUCAAGGAUAGUGCCAUCUGGUGCUUCCCAACAGGAAGCCUUUAAAUUGUGUUUCUUAUGCUAAUAGUUUGGUCUCCGCUUUUUGAUAAUAUUACUGUGAUAAAACUUUGGUCUACAUAGUAACAUCAACUUGGUUUUGUGGUUCCUUGAUUGAUUACAUUUUCUUCUCUCUCUCCCUCUUUCAGUUUUUAAAUUUUUUGUGUGGUUGUCUACAGUACGUUGUUCCAUGGUUGACUUAAAAAAAAUUAGAGUAUUUAGUUGUCGAGGUUUGGAAAAAUUAAUGGCAUUGUGGGGCUUUGUUAUAGUGUAAUAAUUUUUCUCAGUUUGCAGGAUAUAUUUUUGUCUCAACAUCUUGACUAUAAGCCUUUUUAAUGGUUUAGGCAUUCUUACUCUUCUUUUUUAUUUCCUCAUUCACAUGUAUUUCUAACUAGAAAAUGUCAAACCCAACCAUUAACUUUGUACUUUUGUUUUGAAGGAAUUUUGGUUUGAAGGUUAUCCACAUCAAUAACAUUCUCCUUUGGUAGGGGUGUUCAAAUCCAGUGGAUACUCAAUUUGACGUGUUAUAUUUGUAAUUCCUUUUCUUUUUGUCAUUAAGCCCUUUUUUUGUGCGUCUUAUCUCCUUCUUUCUCUCUCAUUUUUUUCAGGGACUAGAAGUAGAGCCUGCAUAUUUGUAUGGGGGAAGUUAUCAACAUGGUGCAUUAAGCCCUUGGUGGUUUACUAUUUCUAACCUUGUUCACUUAUUUGACAUUGAGGUGCCUAAAUCUAUGGAUUAUUCUUUAAAUACUCGUUCCCGAUUAAUGUUGACAAGUAGACAUGGUAUUUGCUAUCGAGUUUUUGCUAGUUACUUGUUUUAUUUGUAGUUUUUGCUAGUUACCUGUUCUAUGUGGGCCCCUAGUGGAAUAAUUUUGUCUAGCAAUAGCAUAGUUGAUUUCUUAUCUGAAUUUUUAAGGUGCUUACGAUUGUAAUUAUUGUUUCAAUACUCUUCCCUUGCAUUAUGUUGACAUGGGGCAUUUGGUAACCUUCUCUAUUGGAGUAGGUGAGACUUUGAGUUAUUUUAUCUUUUUUUGGCAAUAAUUAUCUCGAGUUGUAUUCAUUGAUUAUUUAGCACAACUUGGUUUGUCCCUUGUCUUUCCGUUGUACACUUGACAAUCAGAAGUGUAAGCUGGACCUCUUGUUACGCAGGUUGUUGUUUAUUCUCUUCCUGGUUUGCUCCUGGUUUCAUGCAAUGGGUAGUUCUGGACUCAAUAAUUGUUAGUUUAUUCUUGUUACCUAACUGUUUUUCGCCUAACAUGGCACACUUGAUUCCUCUUCUAUUGUGGACUUCCUUGCAUCUUCCUACUGUCGAAGGGAGGCCUGUAAAUUGUGUAGGAUAGUUCUAUUCGGUACUUCGAAACAGGGAAGCCUAUAAAUUGUGUUUCUUAUGUUAAUUGUUUGUUCUUUAUUUGAUAAUAUUACUGUGAGAGAACUUAGGUCUACAUAGUACUCCCUCCGUCCCAUAGUUAUAGGCUGAUUUCUUUUGGCACAUAGUUUAAGAAAAUUAGUUAAGUGGCAGUUUUUAACAUAAAUUUUUCACAUAUACCCCUUAAUAUGGAAUUAAUCAAUAAGUUAAUUACUCCUUACUUAUCACACUGGAACUCUCAACUUCAUUGAUUGACGUGUACUGACCAUUAAAAUCCAUAACCAUAGAACUUUAACCAAAGAGAAAACAAUAACAUUAAAUGUGGUGAUAAAAAUAAUGACAUUGAAUGUUGUUUCUUCAAAAAAAGAGUAAUGGUUGAAUAUUUAUUAUAAGGGCAUAAAAGUAAAACAAUGAACCAACUAAAUUUUAUAAAUAGUAAGUAGCCUAUAUAUUGGGACAUCUCAAAAUGGAAAAUCAGCCUAUAACUAUGGGACAGAGGGAGUAUCAUUAACUGGUGUUCACAGUUCCUUAUUGAUUGCAUUUUUUUAAUCAUAUUUUUUAUUUUUGUGAUAUGUUUGUGGUCGUCUACAGUGCAUUGUUCCAAGGUUGACAUUGGGAAAAAACUAGAGUUUUUAUUUGCAAUGUUCGAAAAAGCUAAAAUCGCUAUGAGGCGUUUUUAUCUGGGCUAUGCGAGGCGUAAGCCUCGAGGUGGAGCGAGGCGGAAGCCUUGAUUCAAAGACCUAAAAGUCCCCAAAAAAUUAUGAAAAAAUAUUAAUAAAAUCAUAAAAUAAUUCAUCAUUACAAUUAAGGUUAUAGAAGACAUAAAUAACCAACGUCACAGUAAUGUAUCAUUACAAAACAUCAAAACAACAUAGUAUCAUCAAGUACUUAUAUAGUGAUCAUCCAUCACUAUGUAAGUAAUGUAUCAUUUGUAUCUAGCGGCUUGAAUAAAGGAUCAAAUCCUUAGAUCAUCAUCCCCAUCACCAUCAUCAUCAUCACUAUCAUCACUAAGAGGAUCCUCCAUGGAAUCAUCAUCGUAUCUAAUAGCUCUGUCAUCCUCCUCAUUGUCAGUGCUAAGAUCCUCAAAUUCAGGUUCUUCAUCAACCAAUUGCAAUCCCUUCCCUUUAUCUAUAAAUAAACAAGUGAAUAUAUAUUUAAUCCAAAUGAAUAUGUUUUUUUAAAGAACACCUUAAAGGCAACUUAAGUAAUGACACUAAUCUUUUGACAUAGUUUUUGACGGCAAAGUGUUUCUCUCUCUUUUGACUUCCUUGUUUACUACUUGUUCCCCGAGUCCCUUGCCCUCCAAGUGUAAUCUCUCCCACAUUAGUCUCUUCUCCCCCAACUGUCUUCUCAUUCCCAUGAAUCCUUUCACCCUCCUCCAUAUCAUCAUUCCCAGAAGUCAGUCUCGAGAUAUUUUCAUCGUUUCCCCCCGCAAUCCACUCAUUAUCAGAUGACACAUUUUCAACAACCAAUGGAUCAUCUUCUUCCGUUAGUGCCUUUUUCUUGAUAUGCCGAUCUUUCAAUUUUUUAUUAUACACAAUGUAAGCCAAUGAGUUAAGCCUGGAUGCGGACAGUCGGUUCCUUCUCUUUGUAUGUAUUUAUAUUACAAUUAAUUUAGCAAUUAGCAUUAGUGAAAAUGUCAGAUCUCAUAAAAUCUUAAUAAAUGAUUUAUAUCUAAUAAAUACCUGACUGAAAGUACUCCAAUUACGCUCACACCCCGAAGAUGAGCAAGUUAAACUCAGAAUCUUCACUGCAAAGUUUCUUAAUUCCGGAGUUUCAUCUGCGAUCCACCAAUCAGUUGGAUCAAUAUUAAAAUAUAUAUCAAUCUUACCGGUACACGUUUAAUCAAAGUGAAAGCAUAACCAGACAUUAAUCAACGGUACUUACCGGGAGCACGUUUCUUACACGUAUUUUUAGCAUUUGUGUAGCCAAAUAACCCUUGCCUCAAUCGGAAUGCAUCCAUUUGCAAAUCAGCUUUCUCUCUUUCCACAGCGUUAUGAAUAAAGCUUGUCCAUACAAGAGUACAAUCCCACUUUAACUUCCGCAUUUGCAUAGAAAUUGUCUUCAUAUUGAAAAUGAGGAUUCAAAUAAUAUGCAGCAGCGUGCAAAUGCCGAAUGCAGAUUCAAAUAAUAUGAGGAUUCAAAUAAUAUUAUUUUUGAGAAGUUAACAAUAAAAAGUAAUCCUUCGUACGUUGUUUUUGUUCUUCCUAUAGUCUCAUUCUACUCCCUUAUCCCAUAGUUUUUAUGUUCAGUGUUCCAAGGGAUAGUGGGUCUUUAGCGAAAUAAAUUUGUCUGGCAUAGUUAAAUUCUUUUCUGAAAUUUUAUGGUGCUUACCUAUUGUAUUCUUGUUUUAAUGGUCUUCCCAUCCUAUUAUGUUCACAUAUAGGGCAUUUGGUAACCUUUAUUGGAGGAGGCGAGGUUCUGACUUAUUUUAUUUUUUUUGUCCAAAAUUAUCUUCAAUUGUAUUCAUUGGUUAUUUAACAGCUUGUUUUGUGACCCUUGUCUUUCUGUUGUCCACUGACAUUCAGAAGCCUAAGCUGGACCUCUUAUUAUGAAGUCUGUUGUGUAUUCUCUUCCUUGUUUGCUCCUGGUUUCAUGCAAUGGGUAGUUCUGGACUCAAUAAUUGUCAGUUUUUUCUUAUUUGUUACCUAACCAGUUAUCGUCUAACAUGGCACAUUUGAAUCCUCUUCUAUUGUGGACUUACCCACCACUGCUGUUGCUACUAUCAAGGUAGUGCUAUCUUGUACUACCAAAUACGGAAGCAUGUAAAUUGUGUCUUAUGUUAAUAGUUUUGUUUUUUCUUUCUGAUAAUCUUACUGUGAGAGAAUUUUGGUCUACGUUGUAACAUCAACCGGUGUUUGCAGUUCCGUAAUUGAUUGCAUUUUCUUCUCUCUUUUUAUUUUCUUUUUUAAAAUUUUCUAAUAUGUUUGUGGUUGUCUACACUGCAUUGUUUCUAGGUAAAGAUAAUAUUACUGUGAGAGAUCUUGGGUCUACGUUUUAACAUCAACAGGUGUUUGCAGCUCCUUAAUUGAUUGCGUUUUCUUCUCUCUUUAUUUUUUUUUAAUAAAAUUUGUUUAAAUAGUCAUCAGUGUUAUCUUCUGUGUAAUAGUUUAUCUUAUUUUGCAGGAUAUAUUUUUGACUCUUAACAUUUUGUCAAGUGGUUUUGGAUCAUGUAUUAUUACUCUUUUCAUUUUUACUCUUUUCAAUUUCCGCAUUCUCUUUUAUUUCUAACCAGAAAUGUCAAGCCCAACAAUUAACUUUUUAUUUUGUUUUGUAGGUUAUCCACAUCCAUAACAUUAUCUUUUGGUGGCUGUGUUUCAGUCCAGUAGUUUCCCAAUUUGACAUGUUAAAUUUGUCAUUCGUUUUUUUCUUCAAUAAGCCCUUUAUUUUUGUGCGCCUUAUCUCUUACUUUCUCUCUCAUUUUCCCCCCAGAUUAGAAGUAGAAUUGCACGUGUUUUGGGGCUAGUUAUCUACAUGGUGCAUUGAGCCCUUGGUGGUUACCUUUUCCAACCUUGUUGAUUUAUCCACAUCAAUAUAAUUAUGCUUUGAUGGAGGUCUUUCAAUCCAGUGGUUACCCAAUUUGACGUGUUUUCUUUGUCAUUCGUUUCUUAUUCCUCAUCAACUUUUUUCUGCUCGUCAUAUUCUCUCUCAUUUUUUUCAGAGAUUAGAAGUAAAGCUGCACAUUUGUUUGGGGGGAGUUAUCAACAUGGUGCAUUGAGCCUUUGGUGGUUUACCCUUUUCUAACCUUGCUCAUUUCGGAUCAUGCAUUCAUACUCUUCUUUUCAAUUUCCGCAUUCACAUUUAUUUCGAACCAGAAAAUAUCAAGCCCAAAAAUUAACAUUUAAUUUUUGUUUUGUAGGAAUUUUGUUUGAAUGUUAUCUGCAUCAAUAACAUUAUCCUUUGGUCCCCGUAUUUCAGUCCAGUGGUUACCCAAUUUGAUGUGUUUUAAUUGUCAUUCUUUUUUUGCUCUUCAUUUAGCCCUUUGUUUUUGUGCAUCUUAUCCCUCUCUUUCUCUCGCAUUUUUUUUCUUCCAGAGAUUAGAAGUAGCGCUGCAUGUGCUUUGGGGAAAGUUAUCAACAUGGUGCAUUGAGCCCUUGGUGGUUUACCUUUCAAACCUUGUUUAUUAAUCCACAUCAACGCCAUUAUGCUUUGGUGGGGGUGUUUCAAUCCUUUGGUUACCCAGUUUGACGUGUUUUAUUUUAAUUCGUUUCUUAUUCCUCAUUAAGCCCUUUUUCUGCGUCUUAUUAUCUCUUUUUUUUCCGGAGCUUAGAAGUAAAUCUGCACAUUUGUUUAGGGGGAGUUAUCAACAUGGUGCAUUGAUCCCUUGGUGGUUUACCUUUUCUAACCUUGGUCAUUUCUUUUUUAGAGAUUGAGGUGCCUAAAUUUAUGAAUUAUUAUUUAAAUACCCUUCCCUAUUUUUUGUUUACAACUUGUCAUGGCAUUCACUAUCGAGUUCUUGCUAGUUACCUGUUCUCUGGGUAAUUUUAGUUAUUGACUUGAAUUUUCUGUACCUUAUUAUUUUUUCCUUGAUUAGUUGACAAAAAAAAGUAGUCCUUCAUUUUUUUGUUUUUGUUUCUCCUUGAGUCUUCUUUUUCUUCCUUAUCCUGUAGUUUUUCUCUUCCGAGUGUCCCCAGGCUCAGAGGCAAACUAUUAACUUGGUGCAGAGGGGCCCUAGUGCAAUAAUAUUUCUAGCUUAAUUGAUUUUUUUAUCUGAAUUUUGAAGGUGCUUUUGUUUUCUUGUUUUAAUACUCUUCCUUUCCAUAAUGUUGACAUAGGGAAUUUGGUAGCCUUCUCCGAGUAGGUGGGGCUCUGACUUAUUUAAUCAUUUUUUGUCCACAAGUUAUUUUAAGUUGGAUUCAUCAGUUAUUUACCAACUUGUUUUGUGAUCCUAAUCUUUGCAUUAUCCACUGACAAUCAGAAGUUUAAGCUGGACCUCUUAUUAUGAUAGGCUGUGAUGUAUUAUCUUCGUGGUUUGCUCCUGGUUUCGUGCAAUGGGUAGUUGUGAACUCGACUUGUCAGAUUUUUCUUGCUUUUAAUUGUUUUACGCCUAACAUGGCAAAUUUCAAUUCUUUUCUAUUUUGCAACUUCCCUGCUGCCGCUGUUGGCAUUUUGCUGCUAUCAAGGAUAGUGCCAUCUCCAAACUGGGAACCCUGUAGAUUGUGUUUCAUAAGUUAAUAAUUUGGUCUUUUCUUAUUGAUAAUAUUACUGUGAGAGAACUUCGGUCUACAUAAUUACGUCAACCGGUGUUUGCAGUUCCUUAAUUGAUUGCAUUUUUUCUCUCUUUUGUUUUUUUAAAUGUUUUUAAUCUGUGCGGUUGUCUACUGUGCAUUGUUCCUAGGUUGACUUGGAAAAAACUAGAGUAUUUAGUCGUUGAGGUUCGAAAAAUUAAUUGUAUUAUGUGGUUUUGUAAAUUGUAAUAAAUUUUGAUUUAAUGUACAUCACUUGUAUCUUAUGUAUAAUAAUUUAUCUCAUUUUGCAGUUUAUAUUUAUGACUCUUGAACAUUUUGACUAAGCCUUGUCAGUGGUUUUGGAGCAGGCAUUCUUACUCUUUUCUAUAUUAGCAUUCACAUUUAUUUCUAAACAAAAAAUAUCAAGCCCAACAAUUAACUUUUUACUUUUGUUUUGAAGGAAUUUUGGUUGAAGGUUAUCUACAUCAAUAACAUUAUCCUUUGGUCCCCGUGUUUCAGUCCAGUGGUUACACAAUUUGUAGAGUUUUAUUUGUCAUUCUUUUUGUUUUUCAUUUAACCCUUUGUUUUUGUGCAUCUUAUCCCUCUCUUUCUCUCGCAUUUUUUUCUUCCAGUGAUUAGAAGUAGUGCUGCAUGUGUUUUUGGGGAAGUUAUCAACAUGGUGCAUUGAACCCUUGGUGGUUUACCUUUCAAACCUUUGUUCAUUUCUUUUCUACACAUUGAGUGUCUAAUUUUAUUGAUUAUUCUUUAAAUACUCUUCCCUGAUUUACUACGUGGUCAACUUGAGAUGGCCUUUGCUAUCUAGUUUUUGCUAGUUUCAUGUUCUAUGUGUAUCUUUAGUUAUUGAAUUGAAUUUUCAGUACCUUUUCUUUUGAGAAGUUAACAAUAAAAAGUAAUCCUUCGUACGUUGUUUUUGUUCUUCCUUUAGUCUCAUUCUACUCCCUUAUCCCCUAGUUUUUAUGUUCGGUGUUCCAAGGGAUAGUGGGUCUUUAACGAAAUAAAUUUGUCUGGCAUAGUUAAAUUCUUUUCUGAAAUUUUAUGGUGCUUACCUAUUGUAUUCUUGUUUUAAUGGUCUUCCCAUCCUAUUAUGUUGACAUAUAGGGCAUUUGGUAACCUUCUUUAUUGGAGGAGGCGAGGUUCUGACAGAAGCCUAAGCUGGACCUCUUGUUAUGAAGGCUGUUGUUUAUUCUCUUCCUAGUUUGCUCCUUGUUUCAUGCAAUGGGUAGUUCUGGACUCAAUAAUUGUCAGUUUUUUCUUGUUUGUUACCUAACCAGUUAUCGUCUAACACGGCACAUUUGAGUCCUCUUCUAUUGUGGACUUACCCAUCAUUUCUGUUGCUACUUUCAAGAAUAGUGCCAUCUUGUACUACUAUCAAAUAGGGAAGCAUGUAAAUUGUGUCUUAUGUUAAUAGUUUUGUCUUUUCUUUAUGAUAAUCUUACUGUGAGAGAACUUUGGUCUACGUUGUAACAUCAACCGGUGUUUGCAGUUCCUUAAUUGAUUGCAUUUUCUUCUCUCUUUUUAUUUUCUUUUUUAAGAUUUUCUAAUAUGUUUGUGGUUGUCUACACUGCAUUGUUUCUAGGUAAAGAUAAUAUUACUGUGAGAGAUCUUGGGUCUACGUUGUAACAUCAACAGGUGUUUUCAGCUCCUUAAUUGAUUGCCUUAUCUUCUCUUAUGUUUUUUUAAUAAAAUUUGUUUAAAUAGUCAUCAGUGUUAUCUUCUGUGUAAUAGUUUAUCUUAUUUUGCAGGAUAUAUUUUUGACUCUUAUCAUUUUGAUUUAACCAGAAAUGUCAAGCCCAACAAUUAACUUUUUAUUUUGUUUUGAAGGUUAUCCACAUCCAUAACAUUAUCUUUUGGUGGCAGUGUUUCAGUCCAGUAGUUUCCCAAUUUGACAUGUUAAAUUUGGCAUUCGUUUUUUUCUUCAUUAAGCCCUUUAUUUUUGUGCGCCUUAUCUCUUACUUUCUCUCUCAUUUUUUCCCCAGAUUAGAAGUAGAGUUGCACGUGUUUUGGGGCUAGUUAUCAACAUGGUGCAUUGAGCCCUUGGUGGUUACCUAUUCCAACCUUGUUGAUUUAUCCACAUCAAUAUAUUUAUGCUUUGAUGGAGGUCUUUCAAUCCAGUGGUUACCCAAUUUGACGGUUUUCUUUGUCAUUCGUUUCUUAUUCCUCAUCAACUUUUUUCUGCUCGUCAUAUUCUCUCUCAUUUUUUUCAGAGAUUAGAAGUAAAGUUGCACAUUUGUUUGGGGGGAGUUAUCAACAUGGUGCAUUGAGCCUUUGGUGGUUUACCCUUUUCUAACCUUGCUCAUUUCGGAUCAUGCAUUCAUACUCUUCUUUUUAAUUUCCGCAUUCACUUUUAUUUCGAACUAGAAAAUAUCAAGCCCAACAAUUAACUUUUAAUUUUUGUUUUGAAGGAAUUUUGUUUGAAUGUUAUUUGCAUCAAUAACAUUAUCCUUUGGCCCCUGUGUUUCAGUCUAGUGGUUACCCAAUUUGAUGUGUUUUAUUUGUCAUUCUUUUUUUGCUCUUCAUUUAGCUCUUUGUUUUUGUGCAUCUUAUCCCUCUCUUUCUCUCGCAUUUUUUUUCUUCCAGAGAUUUUAGAAGUAGAGCUGCAUGUGUUUUGGGGGAUGUUAUCAACAUGGUGCAUUGAGCCCUUGGCGGUUUACCUUUCAAACCUUGUUUAUUAAUCCACAUCAAUGCCAUUAUGCUUUGGUGGGGGUGUUUCAAUCCUUUGGUUACCCAAUUUGACGUGUUUGUUUUUUAAUUCGUUUCUUAUUCCUCUUUAAGCCCUUUUUCUGCGUCUUUUUAUCUUUCUUUUUUCCCAGAGAUUAGAAGUAAAUCUGCACAUUUGUUUAGGGGGAGUUAUCAACGUGGUGCAUUGAUCCCUUGGUGGUUUACCUUUUCUAACCUUGGUCAUUUCUUUUUUAGAGAUUGAGGUGCCUAAAUUUAUGAAUUAUUAUUUAAAUACCCUUCCCUAUUUUAUGUUUACAACUUGUCUUGGCAUUCACUAUCGAGUUCUUGCUAGUUACCUGUUCUCUGGGUAAUUUUAGUUAUUGACUUGAAUUUUCUGUACCUUUUUAUUUUUUCCUUGAUUAGUUGACAAAAAAAAGUAGUCCUUCAUUUUUUUGUUUUUGUUUUUCCUUGAGUCUUCUUUUGUCUUCCUUAUCCUGUUGUUUUUCUCUUCCGAGUGUCCCCAGGCUCCGAGGCAAACUAUUAACUUGGUGCAGAGGGGCCCUAGUGCAGUAAUAUUUCUAGCUUAAUUGAUUUUUUUAUCUGAAUUUUGAAGGUGCUUUUGUAUUAUUGUUUUAAUACUCUUCCUUUCCAUAAUGUUGACAUAGGGAAUUUGGUAGCCUUCUCCGAGUAGGUGGGGCUCUGACUUAUUUUAUCAUUUUUUGUCCAUGAGCUAUUUUAAGUUGAAUUCAUCAGUUAUUUACCAACUUGUUUUGUGAUCCUGAUCUUUGCAUUAUCCACUGACAAUCAGAAGCCUAAGCUUGACCUCUUAUUAUGAUAGGCUGUGAUGUAUUAUCUUUCGUGGUUUGCUCCUGGUUUCGUGCAAUGGGUAGUUCUGAACUCGACUUGUCAGAUUUUUCUUGCUUUUAAUUGUUUUACGCCUAACAUGGAAAAUUUCAAUUCUUUUCUAUUUUGCAACUUCCCUGCUGCCACUGUUGGCAUUUUGCUGCUAUCAAGGAUACUGCCAUCCGGUAAUUCCAAACUGGGAAGCCUGUAAAUUGUGUUUCAUAUGUUAAUAAUUUGGUCUUUUCUUAUUGAUAAUAUUACUGUGAGAGAACUUCGGCCUACAUAAUUACGUCAACCGGUGUUUGCAGUUCCUUAAUUGAUUGCAUUUUGUUCUCUCUUUUGUUUUUUUUAAAUGUUUUUAAUCUGUGUGGUUGUCUACUGUGCAUUGUUCCUAGGUUGACUUGGAAAAAACUAGAGUAUUUAGUCGUUGAGGUUCGAAAAAUUAAUUGUAUUAUGUGGUUUUGUAAAUUGUAAUAAAUUUUGAUCUAAUGUACAUCACUUGUAUCUUAUGUAUAAUAAUUUAUCUCAUUUUGAAGGAUAUAUUUUUGACUCUUGAACAUUUUGACUAAGCCUUGUCAGUGGUUUUGGAGCAGGCAUUCUUACUCUUUUCUAUAUCAGCAUUCACAUUUAUUUCUAAACAAAAAAUAUCAAGCCCAACAAUUAACUUUCUACUUUUGUUUUGAAGGAAUUUCGGUUGAAGGUUAUCUACAUCAAUAACAUUAUCCUUUGGUCCCCGUGUUGCAGUCCAGUGGUUACCCAAUUUAUAGUGUUUUAUUUGUCAUUCUUUUUGUUUUUCAUUUAGCCCUUUGUUUUUGUGCAUCUUAUCCCUCUCUUUCUCUCGCAUUUUUUUCUUCCAGAGAUUAGAAGUAGUGUUGCAUGUGUUUUUGGGGAAGUUAUCAACAUGGUGCAUUGAACCCUUGGUGGUUUACCUUUCAAACCUUUGUUCAUUUCUUUUCUACACAUUGAGUGUCUAAUUUUAUUGAUUAUUCUUUAAAUACUCUUCCCUGAUUUACUACAUGGUCAACUUGAGAUGGCAUUUGCUAUCUAGUUUUGGCUAGUUUCAUGUUCUAUGUGUAUCUUUAGUUAUUGAAUUGAAUUUUCAGUACCUUUUCUUUUGAGAAGUUAACAAUAAAAAGUAAUCCUUCGUACGUUGUUUUUGUUCUUCCUUUAGUCUCAUUCUACUCCCUUAUCCCCUAGUUUUUAUGUUCAGUGUUCCAAGGGAUAGUGGGUCUUUAGCGAAAUAAAUUUGUCUGGCAUAGUUAAAUUCUUUUCUGAAAUUUUAUGGUGCUUACCUAUUGUAUUCUUGUUUUAAUGGUCUUCCCAUCCGAUUAUGUUGACAUAUAGGGCAUUUGGUAACCUUCUUUAUUGGAGGAGGCGAGGUUCUGACUUAUUUUAUUUUUUUUGUCCAAAAUUAUCUGGAAUUGUAUUCAUUGGUUAUCUAACAGCUUGUUUUGUGACCCUUGUCUUUCUGUUGUCCACUGACAUUCAGAAGCCUAAGCUGGACCUCUUAUUAUGAAGGCUGUUGUGUAUUCUCUUCCUUGUUUGCUCCUGGUUUCAUGCAAUGGGUAGUUCUGGACUCAAUAAUUUUCAGUUUUUUCUUAUUUGUUACCUAACCAGUUAUCGUCUAACAUUUCACAUUUGAAUCAUCUUCUAUUGUGGACUUCCCCACCACUGUUGUUGCUACUAUCAAGGUAGUGUUAUCUUGUACUACCAAAUAGGAAGCAUGUAAAUUGUGUCUUAUGUUAAUAGUUUUGUCUUUUCUUUAUGAUAAUCUUACUGUGAGAGAACUUUGGUCUACGUUGUAACAUCAACCGGUGUUUGCAGUUCCUUAAUUGAUUGCAUUUUCUUCUCUCUUUUUAUUUCUUUUUUAAAAUUUUCUAAUAUGUUUGUGGUUGUCUACACUGCAUUGUUUCUAGGUAAAGAUAAUAUUACUGUGAGAGAUCUUGGGUCUACGUUGUAACAUCAACGGGUGCUUGCAGCUCCUUAAUUGAUUGCGUUUUCUUCUCUUAUGUUUUUUUAUUAAAAUUUGUUCAAAUAGUCAACAAUUAACUUUUUAUUUUGUUUUGAAGGUUAUCCACAUCCAUAAUUUGGCAUUCGUUUUUUUCUUCAUUAAGCCCUUUAUUUUUGUGCGCCUUAUCUCUUACUUUCUCUCUCAUUUUUCCCCCAGAUUAGAAGUAGAGUUGCACGUGUUUUGGGGCUAGUUAUCAACAUUGUUCAUUGAGCCCUUGGUGGUUACCUUUUCCAACCUUGUUGAUUUAUCCACAUCAAUAUAUUUAUGCUUUGAUGGAGGUUUUUCAAUCCAGUGGUUACCCAAUUUGACGUGUUUUCUUUGUCAUUCGUUUCUUAUUCCUCACCAACUUUUUUCUGCUCGUCAUAUUCUCUCUCAUUUUUUUCAGAGAUUAGAAGUAAAGCUGCACAUUUGUUUGGGGGGAGGUAUCAACAUGGUGCAUUGAGCCUUUGGUGGUUUACCCUUUUCUAACCUUGCUCAUUUCGGAUCAUGCAUUCAUACUCUUCUUUUUAAUUUCCGCAUUCACUUUUAUUUCGAACUAGAAAAUAUCAAGCCCAACAAUUAACUUUUAAUUUUUGUUUUGAAGGAAUUUUGUUUGAAUGUUAUUUGCAUCAAUAACAUUAUCCUUUGGUCCCCGUGUUUCAGUCUAGUGGUUACCCAAUUUGAUGUGUUUUAAUUGUCAUUCUUUUUUUGCUCUUCAUUUAGCCCUUUGUUUUUGUGCAUCUUAUCCCUCUCUUUCUCUCGCAUUUUUUUUCUUCUAGAGAUUAGAAGUAGAGUUGCAUGUGUUUUGGGGUAAGUUAUCAACAUGGUGCAUUAAGCCCUUGGUGGUUUACCUUUCAAACCUUGUUUAUUAAUCCACAUCAAUGCCAUUAUGCUUUGGUGGGGGUGUUUCAAUCCUUUGGUUACCCAGUUUGACGUGUUUUUUUUAAUUCGUUUCUUAUUCCUCAUUAAGCCCUUUUUCUGUAUCUUAUUAUCUCUUUUUUUUUCAGAGCUUAGAAGUAAAUCUGCACAUUUGUUUAGGGGGAGUUAUCAACGUGGUGCAUUGAUCCCUUGGUGGUUUACCUUUUCUAACCUUGGUCAUUUCUUUUAUAGAGAUUGAGGUGCCUAAAUUUAUGAAUUAUUAUUUAAAUACCCUUCCCUAUUUUUUGUUUACAACUUGUCAUGGCAUUCACUAUCGAGUUCUUGCUAGUUACCUGUUCUCUGGGUAAUUUUAGUUAUAUACUUGAAUUUUCUGUACCUUAUUAUUUUUUCCUUGAUUAGUUGACAAAAAAAAGUAGUCGUCCUUCAUUUUUUUGUUUUUGUUUUUUCUUGAGUUCUUUUUCUUCCUUAUCCUGUCGUUUUUCUCUUCCGAGUGUCCCCAGGCUCAGAGGCAAACUAUUAACUUGGUGCAGAGGGGCCCUAGUGCAAUAAUAUUUCUAGCUUAAUUGAUUUUUUUAUCUGAAUUUUGAAGGUGCUUUUGUUUUCUUGUUUUAAUACCUCCUUUCCAUAAUGUUGACAUAGGGAAUUUGGUAGCCUUCUCUGAGUAGGUGAGGCUCUGACUUAUUUAAUCAUUUUUUGUCCACGAGUUAUUUUAAGUUGAAUUCAUCAGUUAUUUACCAACUUGUUUUGUGAUCCUGAUCUUUGCAUUAUCCACUGACAAUCAGAAGCCUAAGCUGGACCUCUUAUUAUGAUAGGCUGUGAUGUAUUAUCUUCGUGGUUUGCUCCUGGUUUCGUGCAAUGGGUAGUUGUGAACUCGACUUGUCAGAUUUUUCUUGCUUUUAAUUGUUUUACGCCUAACAUGGCAAAUUUCAAUUCUUUUCUAUUUUGCAACUUCCCUGCUGCCGCUGUUGGCAUUUUGCUGCUAUCAAGGAUAGUGUCAUCCGGUAAUUCCAAACUGGGAAGCCUGUAGAUUGUGUUUCAUAAGUUAAUAAUUUGGUCUUUUCUUAUUGAUAAUAUUACUGUGAGAGAACUUCGGUCUACAUAAUUACGUCAACCGGUGUUUGCAGUUCCUUAAUUGAUUGCAUUUUGUUCUCUCUUUUCUCAUUUAUUUUUUUAAAUGUUUUUAAUAUGUGUGGUUGUCUACUGUGCAUUGUUCCUAGGUUGACUUGGAAAAAACUAGAGUAUUUAGUCGUUGAGGUUCGAAAAAUUAAUUGUAUUAUGUGGUUUUGUAAAUUGUAAUAAAUUUUGAUUUAAUGUACAUCACUUGUAUCUUAUGUAUAAUAAUUUAUCUCAUUUUGCAGGAUAUAUUUUUGACUCUUGAACAUUUUGACUAAGCCUUGUCAGUGGUUUUGGAGCAGGCAUUCUUACUCUUUUCUAUAUCAGCAUUCACAUUUAUUUCUAAACAAAAAAUAUCAGGCCCAACAAUUAACUUUUUACUUUUGUUUUGAAGGAAUUUUGGUUGAAGGUUAUCUACAUCAAUAACAUUAUCCUUUGGUCCCCGUGUUUCAGUCCAGUGGUUACCCAAUUUGUAGUGUUUUAUUUGUCAUUCUUUUUGUUUUUCAUUUAGCCCUUUGUUUUUGUGCAUCUUAUCCCUCUCUUUCUCUCGCAUUUUUUUCUUCCAGAGAUUAGAAGUAGUGCUGCAUGUGUUUUUGGGGAAGUUAUCAACGUGGUGCAUUGAUCCCUUGGUGGUUUACCUUUUCUAACCUUGGUCAUUUCUUUUUUAGAGAUUGAGGUGCCUAAAUUUAUGAAUUAUUAUUUAAAUACCCUUCCCUAUUUUAUGUUUACAACUUGUCUUGGCAUUCACUAUCGAGUUCUUGCUAGUUACCUGUUCUCUGGGUAAUUUUAGUUAUUGACUUGAAUUUUCUGUACCUUUUUAUUUUUUCCUUGAUUAGUUGACAAAAAAAAGUAGUCCUUCAUGUUUUUGUUUUUCCUUGUCUUCUUUUUCUUCCUUAUCCUGUUGUUUUUCUCUUCCGAGUGUCCCCAGGCUCAGAGGCAAACUAUUAACUUGGUGCAGAGGGGCCCUAGUGCAAUAAUAUUUCUAGCUUAAUUGAUUUUUUUAUCUGAAUUUUGAAGGUGCUUUUGUUUUCUUGUUUUAAUACUCUUCCUUUCCAUAAUGUUGACAUAGGGAAUUUGGUAGCCUUCUCCGAGUAGGUGGGGCUCUGACUUAUUUAAUCAUUUUUUGUCCACAAGUUAUUUUAAGUUGGAUUCAUCAGUUAUUUACCAACUUGUUUUGUGAUCCUGAUCUUUGCAUUAUCUUUCUUGGUUUGCUCCUGGUUUCGUGCAAUGGGUAGUUGUGAACUCGACUUGUCAGAUUUUUCUUGCUUUUAAUUGUUUUACGCCUAACAUGGAAAAUUUCAAUUCUUUUCUAUUUUGCAACUUCCCUGCUGCCACUGUUGGCAUUUUGCUGCUAUCAAGGAUACUGCCAUCCGGUAAUUCCAAACUGGGAAGCCUGUAAAUUGUGUUUCAUAUGUUAAUAAUUUGGUCCUUUUCUUAUUGAUAAUAUUACUGUGAGAGAACUUCGGCCUACAUAAUUACGUCAACCGGUGUUUACAGUUCCUUAAUUGAUUGCAUUUUGUUCUCUCUUUUGUUUUUUUAAAUGUUUUUAAUCUGUGUGGUUGUCUACUGUGCAUUGUUCCUAGGUUGACUUGGAAAAAACUAGAGUAUUUAGUCGUUGAGGUUCGAAAAAUUAAUUGUAUUAUGUGGUUUUGUAAAUUGUAAUAAAUUUUGAUCUAAUGUACAUCACUUGUAUCUUAUGUAUAAUAAUUUAUCUCAUUUUGCAGGAUAUAUUUUUGACUCUUGAACAUUUUGACUAAGCCUUGUCAGUGGUUUUGGAGCAGGCAUUCUUACUCUUUUCUAUAUCAGCAUUCACAUUUAUUUCUAAACAAAAAAUAUCAAGCCCAACAAUUAACUUUUUACUUUUGUUUUGAAGGAAUUUUGGUUGAAGGUUAUCUACAUAAAUAACAUUAUCCUUUGGUCCCCGUGUUUCAGUCCCGUGGUUACCCAAUUUGUAGUGUUUUAUUUGUCUUUCUUUUUGUUUUUCAUUUAGCCCUUUGUUUUUGUGCAUCUUAUCCCUCUCUUUCUCUCACAUUUUUCACUUCCAGAGAUUAGAAGUAGUGCUGCAUGUGUUUUUGGGGAAGUUAUCAACAUGGUGCAUUGAACCCUUGGUGGUUUACCUUUUAAACCUUUGUUCAUUUCUUUUCUACACAUUGAGUGCCUAAUUUUAUUGAUUAUUCUUUAAAUACUCUUCCCUGAUUUACUACGUGGUCAACUUGAGAUGGCAUUUGCUAUCUAGUUUUGGCUAGUUUCAUGUUCUCUGUGUAUCUUUAGUUAUUGAAUUGAAUUUUCAGUACCUUUUCUUUUGAGAAGUUAACAAUAAAAAGUAAUCCUUCGUACGUUGUUUUUGUUCUUCCUUUAGUCUCAUUCUACUCCCUUAUCCCCUAGUUUUUAUGUUCAGUGUUCCAAGGGAUAGUGGGUCUUUAGCGAAAUAAAUUUGUCUGGCAUAGUUAAAUUCUUUUCUGAAAUUUUAUGGUGCUUACCUAUUGUAUUCUUGUUUUAAUGGUCUUCCCAACCUAUUAUGUUGACAUAUAGGGCAUUUGGUAACCUUCUUUAUUGGAGGAGGCGAGGUUCUGACUUAUUUUAUUUUUUUUGUCCAAAAUUAUCUUGAAUUGUAUUCAUUGGUUAUUUAACAGCUUGUUUUGUGACCCUUGUCUUUCUGUUGUCUACUGACAUUCAGAAGCCUAAGCUGGAACUCUUGUUAUGAAGGCUGUUGUUUAUUCUCUUCCUGGUUUGCUCCUUGUUUCAUGCAAUGGGUAGUUCUGGACUCAAUAAUUGGCAGUUUUUUCUUGUUUGUUACCUAACCAAUUAUCGUCUAACACGGCACAUUUGAGUCCUCUUAUAUUUUGGACUUACCCAUCAUUAUGUUGCUACUAUCAAGAAUAGUGCCAUCUUGUACUAUUAUCAAAUAGGGAAGCCUGUAAAUUGUGUCUCAUGUUAAUAGAUUGGUCUUUUCUUUAUUAUAAUCUUACUGUGAGAGAACUUUGGUCUACGUUGUAUCAUCAACAGGUGUUUGCCGUUCCUUAAUUGAUUGCAUUUUCUUCUCUCUUUUUGUUUUCUUUUUUUUAAAUUUUCUAAUCUGUUUGUGGUUGUAUACCCUGCAUUGUUUCUAGGUAAAGAUAAUAUUACUGUGAGAGAUCUUUGGUCUUUACUUUGCAAUGUCAACAUGUGUUUGCAGCUCCUUAAUUGAUUGUGUUUUCUUGUCUCUUUGUGUUUUAAAAAAUUUUAAUCUGUGUGAUUGUCAUUGUUCUUAGGUUGACUUUGUAAAAGACUAGAGUAUUUAGUCAUUGAGGUUUGAAAAAUUAAUGGCGUUGUGGUGCUUUUUAAUCAUAGUUUUGUUUAAAUAUCCAUCAGUAUUAUCUUCUGUGUAAUAGUUUCUCAUUUCGCAGGAUAUAUUUGUCUCUUGACAUUUUGACUAAGCCUUAUUAGUAGUGCUUUUGGAUUACACAUUCUUACUCUUCCUUUUCAAUUUCUGCAUUCUCAUUUAUUUCUAACCAGAAAAUUUUAAGCUCAGAUAGUAACUUUUUUACUUUUGUUUUGAAGGUUAUCACAUCAAUAACAUUAUCGUUUGGUGGGGGUGUUUCAGUUCAGUGGUUACCCAAUUUGACAUGUUUUAUUAGUCAUUCGUUGUUUGUUCUUCAUUAAGUCCAUUGUGCGUCUCGUCUCUCUCUCAUUUUUUUUCUUCCAGAGAUUAGAAGUGAGCUGCAUAUUUGUUUUUGGGGGAAGUUAUCAAAAUGGUUCAUUGGGCCUGUGGUUGUUUACCUUUUCUAAUUAAUUUCUUUUCUACCGCAUUGAGGUGCCUAAUUUUAUGGAUUAUUCUUUAAAUACACUUCCCUGAUUUAUGUGGUCAACUUCACAUGGCAUUUGCUAUCAAAAUUUGUUAGUUACCUAUUCUAUGUGCAUUUUCAGUUAUUGACUUGAAUUCCUUGAUAAGUUAAUGAAAAAAAGCAGUCGUCCUUCAUUUUUUGUUUUUCCUAAAUUUUAUCCUUAGUUUUUUGGUCUUCCUAGAGUCAUUCUUCUCGCUCAUCCUCUAGUUUUUCUCUUUUGAGUGUUCCCAGGCAUAGUUGUCCCCUAGUGAAAUAAUUUUGACUAGCAUAGUUGAUUUCUUAUCUGAAAUUUAUGGUGCUUACCUACAGUAUUAUUUGUUUUAAUACUCGUCCCUUCCCUUUAUGUUGACAUAGGGCAUUUUGGUAGGCUCCGACUUAUUAAUUGUUUUUUUAUCCUAAAUUUAUCUUGAGUUGUAUUAAUUGGUUAUUUAACAGCUUGUUUUGUGACACUUGUUUUUGUGUUAUCCACUGUCAUUCAGAAGCCUAAGCUGGACCUCUUAUCACGAAGGCUGUCGUGUAUUCUCUUCCUUGUUCACUCCUGGUUUCAUGCAAUGCAAAGUUAUGGACUCAAUAAUUGUCUGUUUUUCGUGCUUGUUAACUAAACGUUCAUCGUCUAACAUGUCACAUUUGAAUAUUCUUGUAUUGUGGUCUUCCCCCACCGCUGGUGUUGGCAUCUUGCUACUAUCAAGGAUAGUGCCAUCUUGUACUAUCAAAUGGGGAAGCCUGUAAAUUGUCUUUAUGUAAUAGUUUGGUCUUUUCUUUCUAAUAAUAUUAUUGUGAAAGAACUUUGGGCUACAUUAUAACAUCAACCAGUGUAUGCAGUUCCUUAAUUGAUUGCAUUUUCCCUCUCUCUCUCUCUCUCUCUCUUUUUAAUUGUAAUUUUUCUAAUCUGUGUUGUUGUCUACAGUGCAUUGUUCCUAGGUUGACUUUGGAAAAAACUAGAUUAUUUAGUCGUUGAGGUUUGAAAAAUUAAUUGCAUUGUUGGGCUUUUUUAUAAAAUUUGAUUAAAUAACCAUCGCUAUUAUCUUUUGUGUAAUAAUUUGUCUCAAUUUGCAGGAUAUAUAUUUUGAUUCUCAAUAUUUUGACAACGUGUUAGUGUUUUUGGAUCACGCAUUCUUGCUCUUUCUUUUCUAUUUCCGCAUUCACAUUUAAUUCUUACCAGAAAAUGUUAAGCCCAGAUAGUAUCUUUUUUACUUUUGUUUUGAAGGAUUUUUUUUGAAAAUUAUGCACAUCAUUAACAUUAUCCUUUGAUGGGGUUGUUUCAGUCCGGUGGUAACCCAAUUUGACGUGUUUUAUCUGUGGUUUGUUUUUUGUUCUUCAUUAAGUCCAUUGUUUUUGUGUGUCUUAUCUCUCUCUCUCUCAUUUUUUUCUUCCAGAGAUUAGAAGUAGAGUUGCAUAUGUCUUGGAGGAGGUUAUCAGCAUGGUGUGUUGAGCCCUUGGUUGUUUACCUUUUCUAACCUUGUUAAAUUUCUUUUCUACCACAUUUUAUUGUUUAUUCUUUAAAUACACUUCCCUGAUUUAUGUGGACAAAUUUACAUGGCGUUUGCUAUCUAGUUUUUGCCAGUUUCCUGUUUUAUGUGUAUUUUUAGUCAUUGGCUUGAAUUUUUUGUACCUUUUCUUUUGAUAAGUUAACCAAAAAAAAAUUAGUAGUCCUUCAUUUUUUGUUUUUGCUAAAUUUCAUCCUUUGUUUUUUUGGUCUUCCUUGAGUCUCAUUCUUCUCCCUUGUCCUCUUGUUUUACUCUUCGAGUGUUCCCAGGCACAGUGGGCCCCGAGUGAAAUAAUUUUGUCUAGCAUUGUUGAUUUCUUAUCUGAAUCUUUUUGGUGCUUACUUAUUGUAUUAUUGUUUUUAUACUCCUCUCCCAUUAUUUUGACAUAGGUCUUUUGGUAACCUUCUUUACUGGAGGAGGUGAGACUAUUUUAUCCAUUUUUGUCCAUAAUUUAUCUUGAGUUGUAUUCACUGGUUAUUUAGCCAGCUUGUUUUGUGACCCUUGUCUUUUCGUUAUCCACUGACAUUCAGAAGCCUAAGCUGGACCUCUUAUUACGAAGGUCAUAGUGUAUUCUCUUGUUUGCUCCUGGUUUCUUGCAAUGGGAAGUUCUGGAAUAAAGAAAUUGUCUGUUUUUUCUUGCUUGUUACUGUCUAACAUGCACAUUUGAAUCCUCUUCUAUUGUGGAUUCCCCACCGAUGCUGUUGGCAUCUUGCUACUAUUAAGGAUAGUGCCAUCUUGACCAAACAGGGAAGCCUGUAAAUUGUGCGUUAACAGUUUGGUCUUUUCUUUUUUAAAAUAUUACUGUUAGAGAACUUUGGUCUACAUAGUAACAACUGGUGUUCGCAGUUCCUUAAUUGAUUGCAUUUAUCUUCCGUCUUUUUUGUUUUUCUAAUUUUUUUUUUAAUCGGUGUGUGAUUGUCUGCAGUGCAUUGUUCCUAGUUUGACUUUUUUGAAAGUAUUUAGUCGUUGAGGCUUGAAAUUUUUUUGGCGUUGUGAGACGUAAUAAAAUUUUAUUAAAUAUCCAUCACUAUCAUCUUAUGUGCAAUAGUUUGUUUUGUCUCAUUUUGCAAGAUAUAUUUUUGACUAUUAACAUUUUGACCAAGCCUUAUUAGUGGUUUUGGAUUAUGCAUUCUUACUCUUCUUUUCAAUUUCUGCAUUCGCGUUUAAUUCUAACCAGAAAAUGUCAGGCCCAAAUUAACUUAUUUUUUUUGUUUUGAAGGGAUUUUAUUUGAAGGUUAUCCAUAUCAAUAACAUUAUCCUUUGGUGGGGGUGUUUUGGUCCAGUGGUUACCCAAUUUGACGUGUUUUAUUAGUUCUUCGUUUUUUUUUCUUCAUCAAGUCCUUUAGUUUUGUGCGUCUUAUCUCUCUCUCUCAUUUUCCCCCCUGAGAUUAGAAGUAGAGCUGCAUGUGUUUUGGGGGAAGUUAUCAACAUGGUGCAUUGUGCCCUUGGUGGUUUACCUUUUCUAACCUUGUUAAUUUAUUUUCUACCACAUUGAGAUGCCUAUUUUAUGGAUUAUUCUUUAAAUACACUUCCCUGAUUUAUGUGGACAACUUGACAUGAAAUUUGCUAUCUAGUUUUUGCUAAUUACAUGUUCUCUGUCUAUAUUUAGUAGGACGUGGAAUUUAUACAAUGGAUUCAGAAGCAUCAAACGUCUCUUGUUCGGAAGAAUCGAAAUGGUACCAGCCGUACUUACUAAUAGAAGGAUAUGGCAGAAAUAUGUAAAAUUGUCCCUCCUAAAAAGAUUAUUCCAGAAUAAAUGGGCACUAGUUAGGAGAGGUGCGCUUGCGGCGAGUAGAAGCAAGGUUAUUAGAUACCUCAGGAAAGCUUGGCUUGAAUUUUCUGUACCUUUUCUUUCGAUAAGUUGACAAAAAAAAGUAGUCAUCCUUCAUUUUUGGUUUUUGCUAAACUUCAUCCUUUGUUUUUGGGUCUUUUCUCAUUCUUCUCCCUUAUCCUCUAGUUUUACUCUUCGAGUGUUCCCAGGCACAGUGGGCCCCUAGUGAAAUAAUUUUUACUAGCAUUGUUGAUUUCUUCUCUGAAUAUUUUUGGUGCUUACCUAUUGUAUUAUUGUUUUAAUACUCUUCCCUACCAUUAUGUUGACGUAGGGUAUUUGGUAACCUUCUCUAUUGGAGGAGGUGAGGAUCUGAGUUAUUUUGUGAACUGUCCAACCGCUGAUGUUGGCAUCUUUGUUACUAUCAAGGAUAUUGCCAUCUUGUUCUACCAAACAGGGAAGCCUGUAAAUUGUACGUCUUACGUUAGCAGUUUGGUCUUCUCUUUUUGAUAAUAUUACUGUUAGAGAACUUUGGUCUACAUAGUAACAUCAACUGGUGUUCGCAGUUCUUUAAUUGAUUUCAUUUUCUUCUCUCAUUUUUUUAAUCUGUUUGUGGUUGUCUACGGUGUAUUGUUCCUAGGUUGACUUUGGAAAGUAUUUAGUCGUCGUGGUUUGAAAAAUUAAUGGCAUUGCUUUUCAAUUAAAUUUGAUUAAAUUUUCAUUAGUGUUAUCUUCUGUGUAAUAGUUUAUCUCAUUUUGCAAGAUAUAUUUUUGACUCUUUAACAUUUUGACUAUAAGCCUUAUCAGUGGUUUUGGAUCACAUAUUCUUACUCUUUUCAUUUUUACUCUCUUCAAUUUCUGCAUUCACUUUUAUUUCUAACCAGAAAUGUCAAGCCCAACAAUUAAGUUUUUAUUUUUUGUUUUGAAGGAAUUUUGUUUGAAGGUUAUCCACAUCAAUAACAUUAUCCUUUGGUGGGGAUGUUUCAGUCCAGCGGUUACCCAAUUUUUUUUCUUCCAGAGAUUAGAAGUAGAGCUGCAUGUGUUUUGGGGGAAGAUACCAACACGGUGCAUUGAAGCCUUGGUGGUUUACCUUUCAAACCUUGUUUAUUUAUUAAUCUACAUCAAUACCAUUAUGCUAUGGUGGGGGUGUUUCAAUCCUUUGGUUACCCAGUUUGACAUGUUUUUUUUAAUUCGUUUCUUAUUCCUCAUUAAGCCCUUUUUUUGUCCGUCUUAUUAUCCCUCUCUCAAUUUUUUUUCCAGAGAUUAGAAGUAAAUCUGCACAUUUGUUUAGGGGAGUUGUCAUCGUGGUGCAUUCAGCCCUUGGUGGUUUACCUUUUCUAACCUUGCUCAUUUCUUUUCUAGAGAUUGAGGUGCCUAAAUUUAUGAAUUAUUAUUUUCAUACUCUUCCCUGAUUUAUCUUUACAACUCGUCAUGGCUUUCGCUUUCGAGUUCUUGCUAGUUACAUGUUCUCUGUGUAAUUUUAAUUAUUGACUUGAAUUUUCUGUACCUACCUUUUUUUUCCUUGAUUAGUUGACAAAUUUUUUUUCCCUCAAGUCUCCUUUUUCUUCCUUAUCCUGUAGUUUUUCUCUUCGAGUGUCCGCAGGCUCAGAGGCAAACUGUUAACUUGGUGCAGUGGGCCCUAUUGGAAUAAUAUUUCUAUCGUAGUUGAUUUUUUAAUCUGAAUUUGUAAGGUGCUUUUGUAUUAUUGUUUUAAUACUCUUUCUUUCCAUAAUGUUGACAUAGGGAAUUUGGUAGCCUUCUCCGAGUAGGUGAGGCUCUUACUUAUUUUAUCAUUUUUUGUCCAUUAGUUAUUUUAAGUUGUAUUCAUCAGUUAUUUACCAACUUGUUUUGUGACCCUGGUCUUUGCAUUAUCCACCGACAAGCAGAAGCCUAAGCUAGACCUCUUAUUAUUAAGGUUGUGAUGUAUUAUCUUCGUGGUUUGCUUCUGGUUUCGUGCAAUGGUAGUUCUGGAUUCGACUUGUCAGUUUUUUCUUGCUUUUAAUUGUUUUACGCCUAACAUGGCACAUUUCAAUUCUAUUCUAUUUUGCGACUCCACCGCUGCUGCUGUUGGCAUUUUGCUGCUAUCAAGGAUAGUGCCAUCCGGUAAUUCCAAACUGGGAAGCCUGUAAAUUGUGUUUCAUAAGUUAAUAAUUUAGUCUUUUCUUAUUGAUAAUAUUACUGUGCGUCCUAUCUCUCUCUCACUCACUCAUUUUUAGAGAUUAGAAGUAGAGCUGCAUAUGUGUUUUGGGGGAAGUUAUCAACAUGGUGCUUUGAGCCCUUGUUGGUUUACUCUUUCAAACCUUUGUUCAUUUCUUUUCUACACAUUGAGUUCCUAAUUUUAUGGAUUACUCUUUAAAUACUCUUCCCUGAUUUACGUGGACAACUUGAGAUGGCAUUUCCUAUCUAGUUUUUGCUAGUUACCUGUUCUAUGUGUAUUCUUAGUUAUUGAAUUGAAUUUUCGGUACCUUAUACUUUCAUUUUUUGUUUUUGCAAAAUUUCAUCCUUGGUUUUGUGUUCUUCCUUGAGUUUCAUUCUUCUCCCUUAGUGUUCCCAGGCAUAGUGGGACUUUAGUGAAUUAAAUUUGUCUGGAAUAGUUGAAAUUUUUUUCUGAGUUUUUAUGGCGCUUAUCUAUUGUAUUAUUUUUUUAAUGCUUUUCCCAUCCCAUUAUGUUGACGUAUAGGGCAUUUGAUAACCUUCUCUAUUGGAGGAGGCGAGGUUCCGACUUAUUUUAUUGUUUUUUGUCCAAAAUUAUCUUGAAUUGUAUUAAUUGGUUAUUUAGCAGCCAGCUUGUUUUGAAACCCUUGUCUUUGUGUUGUCCACUGACAUUCAGAAGCCUAAGCUGGACCUCUUAUUAUGAAGGCUGUUGUGUAUUCUCUUCCUGAUUUGCUCCUGGUUUCAUGCAAUGGGAAGUUCUGGACUCGAUAAUUUAUUGUUCAGCUUUUUCUUGUUUGUUACCUAACCAGUUAUCGUCUUCUAUUGUGGACUUGCCCACCACUGCUGUUGGCAUCUUGCUACUAUCAAGGUUAGUGCCAUCUUGUACUACCAAACAGGGAAACCUCUAAAUUGUGUCUUAUGUUAAUAGUUUGGUCUUUUCUUUAUGAUAAUCUUACUGUGAGAGAACUUUGGUCUACGUUGUAACAUCAACCGGUGUUUGCAGUUCCUUAUUUGAUUGCAUUUUAUUCUCUCUUCUUUUUAUUCCUUUAAUUUUCUAAUCUGUUUGUGGUUGUCUACACUGCAUUGUUUCUAGGUAAAUAUAAUAUUAGUGUGAGAGAUCUUUGGUCUAAGUUGUAACUUCAACAGGUGUUUGCACAGCUCUUUAAUUGAUUGUGUUUUCUUCUCUUUGUUUUUUUUUUAAAAUUUUCUAAUCUGUGUGGUUGUCUUCGGGGCAUUGUUCUUAGGUUGACUUUGGAAAAGACUACAGUAUUUAGUCAUCGAGGACUGAAAAACUAAUGGCAUCGUGGGGCUUUUUAAUCAUAAUUUGAUUAAAUAUCCAUCAGUAUUAUCUUCUGUGUAAUAGUUUGUCUCAUCUUGAAGGAUAUAUUUUUGACUCUUAACAUUUUGACUAAGCCUUAUCAGUAGUUCUUUUGGAUUACACAUUCUUACUCUUCCUUUUCUAUUUCUGCAUCCACAUUUAUUUCUAUCCAGAAAAUGUUCUCAAAUAGUAACUUUUUUACUUUUGUUUUGAAUGUCAUCACAUCAAUAAAAUUAUUGGGUCUUUUUGAAUAUAUAUUGUCGGUUGUUCUGAUAG
rnacentral:lncRNA from 1 species